rnacentral:rRNA from 1 species
UACGUAGGGGGCAAGCGUUUGUCCGGAAUCAUUGGGCGUAAAGCGCGUGUAGGCGGCCCGGUAAGUCCGCUGUGAAAGUCGGGGGCUCAACCCUCGGAUGCCGGUGGAUACUGUCGGGCUAGAGUGCGGGAGAGGCGAGUGGAAUUCCUGGUGUAGCGGUGAAAUGACGCAGAUAUCAGGAGGAACACCGGUGGCGAAGGCGGCGUCCUGGACCAGUACCGACGUUCGAGGCACGAAAGCGUGGGGAGCAAACAGGAUAGACUACCCUU